AUUGAACGCUGGCGGCAGGCCUAACACAUGCAAGUCGAGCGGCAGCGCGGGGUAACCUGGCGGCGAGCGGCGAACGGGUGAGUAAUACAUGGGAAUCUGCCUAGUAGUGGGGGGAUAACUUCGGGAAACUGGAGGUAAUACCGCAUACGCCCUACGGGGAAAGGGGGGAGUCUUCGGACCUCUCGCUAUUAGAGGAGCCCAUGUCCGAUUAGCUAGUUGGUGAGGUAAAGGCUCACCAAGGCGACGAUCGGUAACUGGUCUGAGAGGAUGGUCAGUCACACUGGAACUGAGACACGGUCCAGACUCCUACGGGAGGCAGCAGUGGGGAAUAUUGGACAAUGGGCGCAAGCCUGAUCCAGCCAUGCCGCGUGAGUGAAGAAGGCCUCGGUUGUAAGA
rnacentral:rRNA from 1 species